GAGUUUGAUCGUGGCUCAGAUUGAACGCUGGCGGCAUGCCUUACACAUGCAAGUCGAACGGCAGCACGGGAGCUUGCUCCUGGUGGCGAGUGGCGAACGGGUGAGUAAUGCAUCGGAACGUAUCCUGGAGUGGGGGAUAACGUAGCGAAAGUUACGCUAAUACCGCAUAUUCUGUGAGCAGGAAAGCGGGGGACCUUCGGGCCUCGCGCUCUUGGAGCGGCCGAUGUCGGAUUAGCUAGUUGGUGAGGUAAAGGCUCACCAAGGCGACGAUCCGUAGCAGGUCUGAGAGGAUGAUCUGCCACACUGGAACUGAGACACGGUCAGACUCCUACGGGAGGCAGCAGUGGGAUUUUGGACAAUGGGGGCAACCCUGAUCCAGCCAUGCCGCGUGAGUGAAGAAGGCCUCGGUUGUAA
rnacentral:rRNA from 1 species